GACGAACGCUGGCGGCGUGCUUAACACAUGCAAGUCGAACGGAAAGGCCCUGCUUUUGUGGGGUGCUCGAGUGGCGAACGGGUGAGUAACACGUGAGUAACCUGCCCUUGACUUUGGGAUAACUUCAGGAAACUGGGGCUAAUACCGGAUAGGAGCUCCUGCUGCAUGGUGGGGGUUGGAAAGUUUCGGCGGUUGGGGAUGGACUCGCGGCUUAUCAGCUUGUUGGUGGGGUAGUGGCUUACCAAGGCCUUGACGGGUAGCCGGCCUGAGAGGGUGACCGGCCACACUGGGACGGAGAUGCGGCCCAGACUCCUACGGGAGGCAGCGGUGGGGAAUAUUGCACAAUGGGCGGAAGCCUGAUGCAGCAACGCCGCGUGCGGGAUGACGGCCUUCGGGUUGUAAACCGCUUUCGCCUGUGACGAAGCGUGAGUGACGGUAAUGGGUAAAGAAGCACCGGCUAACUACGUG
rnacentral:rRNA from 1 species